UACGUAGGGGGCAAGCGUUGUCCGGAUUUAUUGGGCGUAAAGAGCGUGUAGGCGGUUCGGUAGGUCCGUUGUGAAAACUCGAGCUCAACCUCGAGACGCCGAUGGAAACCCCUCGAACUAGAGUCCGGAAGAGGAGAAUGGAAUUCCUGGUGUAGCGGUGAAAAUGCGCAGAUAUCAGGAAGAACACCCCGUGGCUAAGGCGGUUCUCUAGUACGGUACUGACGCUGAGACGCGAAAGCGUGGGGAGCGAACAGG
rnacentral:rRNA from 1 species